GGUUGCGAUCAUACCAGCACUAAUGCACCGGAUCUCAUCAGAACUUCGCAGCUAAGCGUGCUUGGGCGAGAGUAGUACUAGGAUGGGUGACCCCCUGGGAAGUCCUCGUGUUGCAACCC
rnacentral:rRNA from 1 species